CCAUAAAUAUAUUAUUUCUGAAGGAGGAAGAAAUCCCAGAUCUGGAGAUUGACAUCGAUGAACUGUUAGAAAUCUCAGAUGAAGACCAGCGUUCAAAACUCCAGGAGAUGCUGCAUGAAUGUUGUAAACCCACAGACGAUUUUAUUAACGAGCUGCUACUUAGAAUAAAAGGUCUUCGGAAAAUGUCAGUCUCUCAGAAGAAGUGACGCGGACUUCUGCUAUCAAUGGAACAGAGUCACCAAGACGAAAUGGAGUGUGUGGUCAGACCAGCCUUGCCCUGACCUAUUUAUGAAAUAACACCCUUGUUUUGGUCAAAAAAGGGAUCAACUGUGGGACUGAAAUAUGUGAAGCAUGUCAGACUGUGGAUCAAGUUCACUGAUUUAUAACCAGAAAAUAGAGAAUGAGCAGGAUAUGUUUGUGGCUAUUUAUGGAUCAUUUUUGUUAAAAAUGUUAAUAAAAGAUGAUGUGUACGUGUAAUUUCUGCACUGCUGUUGCUGGAACAAAGGACAUUUUAAUCCUCUUACCACCUUUCAAACUGCCCAGGCCUCUUAUUUGAGGGAAUCUGUGCCAAAAGGAGCUUAAGCCCAACUCCAGCCCUCCACUCCCAGUGCAGUACUGGUGGAUUGCUGUACUGGGGGAGGUACCAUUUUUCAGGUGAUAUACUCGAAGGAGGCCCAGCCUACCCAGUUGGCUGGAUGUUAAAAGAUCCCAUGCCUCUAUUUCAAAAGGAAAUAGCAGGAAGUAUUGCAUGUGCUCCUAUUUAUCGCAGCUACUAGUAAAAGUAAAUUCCACGUCAUUGUGGAAUUGCUAUUUGUGGGAUCUUGCUUUGUAAACUGGCUGCUGUGUUUCUUUCAUUGCUGCAGUGGCUCAUUCCAAACAUAGUUCAUCGGCUGUACAGGGCUUUUUGGGCAGCCAGAGAGCGUAUGAAUUACUAUCGAAUUACCAGAAAUGUAAUCAAUUACAUGAUUGUUGAAAGUCAGAUCCGCGUGAGGGAGGAAAUGUAGAACAUUCAGGAACAGAGAGCUCUGACAAGUCAACCAACUGAAGAUGGUGACCCUGCAGGAAGGCAGCAAAUGCCUAACAGCAGGAUUCUGGCAGUCAGUAAAUUGACUAGUCCGCAGAGCAAGUUGGGAGACUGAGUUGGAUUUCUGCCCUAUGCUGUGGGAACAAAUUUAAUCCUUGACGGAUGAUUGGGUCCACAGCAUUGCUGGAGCCAACUAUGUGUGUUUGAAAAAAAAUUAUAAAGUCAGCCAAGAUCUGACUUCACCUUCUGAUCGUUACCCUGUGACACCCUGCCACCCUGACGUUUCUGAUUUCUGCCAAGUUCCUAUUUCAGCAGAAAGUCCUGCUCCUGUGUCCCAAUCACAAAUGCACCUCUCAGCUUGCUGGAGAUCAAACGCUGGAGCCUGGUAACAGGAAGGCAAAACAGCUGAGAACAGGGACAUGGCCUGGCAUCAUUCUAUGUGGUGAGCUGGACUCAGUACCACAUUAUUGGAAGAUAGCAGCUCACCUAGUGCAGGCUUACCCUACAUUUCAAGUCUCAGAUGGACACAUUAGCGGUAAAUGUCAUGAGCUGGGUUUGUGUAACAGCUGGCAUCUCUGUGGUCCAACUGUGAGGUUGAGGGUUAGGUGGAGGGCAUUGUUCUGGAUGUAAUCACCCCUAACAGGUCAUUCUGCUAUAAUGUGCGUUUGCUUAAUGCAAAGUCGCUACAACCUGAUGACGAAUUGGGGACACUGUUUCUAUAGCAUGAACUUUUAAAGUGUGUACUGGUUAUAACCUGAUUCUAGUCCCAUUAACAGUGGUGCUAUUAUGCAAUUUUCUUAUAAUACGGAUUGCACAAGAAUGGAGCUAAUGCAUUAUAGCAGAAUUGACUGCACCUUGAGCGUAUGCAACCGGGGAGAGAAAGUAGAUUGGGUGAUUGCCAGGUAAGGAAGGAGUCCCUUGAGUGUAUCCCAUUCUCUAACAGGUAGUCUGUUGUAAAUAACCAUGUGCUGGUGGCUACAUUUGCUGAUGACACAAAGAUAGCAAGUUCAGUGGUGAAGAGGACGUAAGGAACCUACAAAGGGAUGUGGGUGGACCAAGUGAGUGCGCAAAGAUCUGGUGAAUGGAGUCCAAUGUGAGAAAGUGAACUCGCCCAUUUUGGUAGAAAGAAAUAUUUUACCUAAAUGACGAGAGUAAACCGGGAUUUGAUAGUCCCAGUGCAUUAAACACAGACGUUUAGUAAAUAGCUUUCCUGAUUAUUUGGUAAACCUAAUAGAAAUGUUAUGUUUUAUUGCAAGGGGAAAUGAGGACAAAAGUAAGGAGGGUUUUGCUUCCAUUACAGAGCACUAGUGAAACCACAUUGGAGUACUGAAUACAGUAUCGAUCACUGUACAUAAAAUCCCUAUAUUAUGGAAGCAGGCCACUUGUCCCAUCGAGUCCACAUUGGCCAUCUGAAGAGCAUCCCGCCCAGAUCCUCA